CAGUAGCCGCGGUAAUACGGAGGGUGCAAGCGUUAAUCGGAAUUACUGGGCGUAAAGCGUGCGUAGGCGGUUCGUUAAGUCUGUUGUGAAUGCCCCGGGCUCAACCUGGGAAUGGCAAUGGAUACUGGCGAGCUAGAGUGUGUCAGAGGAUGGUGGAAUUCCCGGUGUAGCGGUGAAAUGCGUAGAGAUCGGGAGGAACAUCAGUGGCGAAGGCGGCCAUCUUGGACAACACUGACGCUGAGGCACGAAAGCGUGGGGAGCAAACAGGAUUAGAUACCCGCGUAGUCCCUGUCUCUUAUAC
rnacentral:rRNA from 1 species